rnacentral:rRNA from 1 species
UACGAAGGGGGCUAGCGUUGUUCGGAUUUACUGGGCGUAAAGCGCACGUAGGCGGAUCGUUAAGUCGGGGGUGAAAUCCUGGAGCUCAACUCCAGAACUGCCUUCGAUACUGGCGAUCUUGAGUCCGGAAGAGGUGAGUGGAACUCCUAGUGUAGAGGUGGAAUUCGUAGAUAUCAUUUGGAACGCCAAUGGUGAAAACAGGUAGCUGGGAGUGUGCUGACGCUGGGACACGAAAGCCAGGGGAGCAAACGGG